GUAGUCAUAUGCUUGUCUCAAAGAUUAAGCCAUGCAUGUCUAAGUGCAAGCCUAAACAAAUGGUGAAACCGCGAAUGGCUCAUUAAAUCAGUUAUGAUUUCCUAGAAACUCUGGUUACUUGGAUAACUGUGGUAAUUCUAGAGCUAAUACAUGCUUAUUGUCCGGAACCUGUCAUGGGUACUGAACAUGCGUUUAUUAGACAAAUGACCGUCUGCUGGAGACUAUCUGGUGGGACACGCAUCCUCAUAGGAGGAUAGCUUGGACGGUGAUGACUCUGUGUAUCCGCGCGAUCGCUUAGGCCUCGAGCCGGCGACGAUUCUUUCAAGUGUCUGCUCUAUCAACUGUCGAUGGUAGGUUAAACGCCUACCAUGGUUGUAACGGGUGACGGAGAAUCAGGGUUCGAUUCCGGAGAGGGAGCCUGAGAAACGGCUACCACAUCCAAGGAAGGCAGCAGGCGCGUAAAUUACCCAAUCCCAGAACGGGGAGGUAGUGACGAAAAAUAACGAUACGGGACUCUUAUGAGGCCCCGUAAUUGGAAUGAGUACACUCUAAAUCCUUUAACGAGGAUCUAUUGGAGGGCAAGUCUGGUGCCAGCAGCCGCGGUAAUUCCAGCUCCAAUAGCGUAUAUUAAAGUUGCUGCGGUUAAAAAGCUCGUAGUUGAAAUUGCUGUCAAGCGUUGAACGGUUACUAUUCGUAUCUGUUUGGCGACUUGGCACAUAUCGGGGGCUGAUCAUCGUCCUCUUUAUUGAGGGCUUUGUUUGGCCUUCCCACUGAUCACUCUGAUAAAAUUAGGGUGCUUAAAGCAGGCCGUGUGCCUCCAUAUCAAUGCAUGGAAUGAUGGAAGAGGUUGCUGUUCCGUUGUUGGUUUUAGGAAUUGGCAAGAUGAUUGAUAGGAACAGACGGGGGCAUUUGUAUUGCGGCGCUAGAGGUGAAAUUCUUGGACCGUCGCAAGACAAACUACAGCGAAAGCAUUUGCCAAGAAUGUUUUCAUUGAUCAAGAACGAAAGUUAGAGGUUCGAAGGCGAUCAGAUACCGCCCUAGUUCUAACCAUAAACGAUGCCAACUAGCAAUCCGACUGAGUUGUCUAUUUGACUCGUCGGGCAGCCCCGGGAAACCAAAGUACGGUUCCGGGGGAAGUAUGGUUGCAAAGCUGAAACUUAAAGGAAUUGACGGAAGGGCACCACCAGGAGUGGAGCCUGCGGCUUAAUUUGACUCAACACGGGGAAACUCACCCGGCCCGGACACUGAAAGGAUUGACAGAUUGAGAGCUCUUUCUUGAUUCGGUGGAUGGUGGUGCAUGGCCGUUCUUAGUUGGUGGAGCGAUCUGUCUGGUUAAUUCCGAUAACGAACGAGACUCUAGCCUAUUAAAUAGACGUGACGUCCUUUGUACGUCACGUGUACCUUCUUAGAGGGACAAGGUGCUUUCAGCACCGCGAAACAGAGCAAUAACAGGUCUGUGAUGCCCUUAGAUGUCCGGGGCCGCACGCGCGCUACAAUGAAGAUAACAGCGUGUGAGUUCCCUUGUUUGAAAAAACUGGGUAACCCCAUGAAACGUCUUCUUGAUUGGGAUUGGGGCUUGCAAUUAUUCCCCUUGAACGAGGAAUUCCCAGUAAACGCUAGUCAUCAGCUAGUGUUGAUUACGUCCCUGCCCUUUGUACACACCGCCCGUCGCUACUACCGAUUGAAUGAUUUAGUGAGGGUUUCCAACUGCCCGCCUGGGCGGCUUCACGGCUAGAAGGGAAGGCGGAAGGACGCCCAAACUUGAUCAUUUAGAGGAAGUAAAGUCGUAACAAGGUUUCCGUAGGUGAACCUGCGGA
rnacentral:rRNA from 1 species